CCUACGGGUGGCAGCAGUGAGGAAUAUUGGUCAAUGGGCGCGAGCCUGAACCAGCCAAGUAGCGUGAAGGAUGACUGCCCUACGGGGUGUAAACUUCUUUUAGCAAGGAAUAUAGUGAGGCAGGUGUGCCUUUCUGUAUGUACUUUAUGAAAAAGGACCGGCCACCACGUGGUCAGCAGCCGCGGUAAUCCGGAGACGCAGAGAGUUAUCGGAUUUUAUUGGGUUUAAGGGGAGCGUGGAUGGGUGGUUAAGUCGGUGGUGAAUGUUUGCGGCUCAAGGGUAAAAUUGCAAUUGAUACUGGCAGUCUUGAGUACAGAUGAGGUAGGCGGAAUUCGUGGUGUAGCGGUGAAAUGCUUAGAUAUCACGAAGAACACCGAUUGCGAAGGCAGCUUACUAAACUGCCACUGACAUUGAUGCUCGAAAGUGUGGGUAUCAAACAGGAUUAGAUACCCUAGUAGUC
rnacentral:rRNA from 1 species